ACGAAGGGGGCAAGCGUUGUCCGGAAUCAUUGGGCGUAAAGAGCGUGUAGGCGGCCCGGUAAGUCCGUUGUGAAAGUCGAGGGCUCAACCCUCGAAUGCCGGCGGAUACUGCCGGGCUAGAAUCCGGAAGAGGCGAGUGGAAUUCCUGGUGUAGCGGUGAAAUGCGCAGAUAUCAGGAGGAACACCAAUGGCGAAGGCAGCUCGCUGGGACGGUAUUGACGCUGAGACGCGAAAGCGUGGGGAGCAAACAGG
rnacentral:rRNA from 1 species